UGAGAGUUCGGCGCCGAAACACGUGUCUCGGGCAUUGCGGUUCGUGUGAUAUUAGGGCCCUGCGGGACUGGUGUCUGCAGGGCCUUCGAAGAUGAUGGAGGAGCACUGGCUGCUUCCACCACGAGGGCGGGAGGCGUCACUACGGGACCACUGUGCGUGGGCUCGCAGGACUCCUCGGGCCUCUGUGACGAUGCCUCCACGUUCGUCACAUCGGCAUAAGUACGUUGCGAAAGCUGAAUGGCACCGACAGAGACAUAGGUAGCCAGCAGAGCACACGGAGGUCCUCAUCUGGCACCACUGGGAAGGCACGGCAUUGCACAAGAAAGGAACCUUCUUUGAACUCGUAAGAGCUGGCGCUGGUGACUGGUCCCAGGACCUUCCGCACAAGCCUUGUUUCCUAGCAAGUACGCAGGUGCCUGCCUCUCAUGUACCUCACAAUGGCCCUCACAAAGGCACUCUUCACUUACAUGAAUAAAU